GGGUUGUGAGGUUAAGCGACUAAGCGUACACGGUGGAUGCCCUGGCAGUCAGAGGCGAUGAAGGACGUGCUAAUCUGCGAUAAGCGUCGGUAAGGUGAUAUGAACCGUUAUAACCGGCGAUUUCCGAAUGGGGAAACCCAGUGUGAUUCGUCACACUAUCAUUAACUGAAUCCAUAGGUUAAUGAGGCGAACCGGGGGAACUGAAACAUCUAAGUACCCCGAGGAAAAGAAAUCAACCGAGAUUCCCCCAGUAGCGGCGAGCGAACGGGGAGGAGCCCAGAGCCUGAAUCAGUGUGUGUGUUAGUGGAAGCGUCUGGAAAGGCGCGCGAUACAGGGUGACAGCCCCGUACACAAAAAUGCACAUGCUGUGAGCUCGAUGAGUAGGGCGGGACACGUGGUAUCCUGUCUGAAUAUGGGGGGACCAUCCUCCAAGGCUAAAUACUCCUGACUGACCGAUAGUGAACCAGUACCGUGAGGGAAAGGCGAAAAGAACCCCGGCGAGGGGAGUGAAAAAGAACCUGAAACCGUGUACGUACAAGCAGUGGGAGCACGCUUAGGCGUGUGACUGCGUACCUUUUGUAUAAUGGGUCAGCGACUUAUAUUCUGUAGCAAGGUUAACCGAAUAGGGGAGCCGAAGGGAAACCGAGUCUUAACUGGGCGUUAAGUUGCAGGGUAUAGACCCGAAACCCGGUGAUCUAGCCAUGGGCAGGUUGAAGGUUGGGUAACACUAACUGGAGGACCGAACCGACUAAUGUUGAAAAAUUAGCGGAUGACUUGUGGCUGGGGGUGAAAGGCCAAUCAAACCGGGAGAUAGCUGGUUCUCCCCGAAAGCU
rnacentral:rRNA from 1 species